UACAGAGGUCUCGAGCGUUAGGCGGAAUCACUGGGCUUAAAGCGUGUGUAGGCGGAUCGUUAAGUACCUUGUGAAAUCCCACGGCUCACCCGUGGAACUGCUGGGCAUACUGGCGAUCUUGGGCCAACUAGGGGCAGCCGGAACAAGCGGUGGAGCGGUGAAAUGCGUAGAUAUCGCUUGGAACGCCGAAGGUGAAAACAGGCUGCUGGGGUUGCGCCGACGCUGAGACACGAAAGCCAGGGGAGCAAACGGG
rnacentral:rRNA from 1 species